rnacentral:lncRNA from 10 species
CCCUGCUCCACAGCGCCCAGUCCCAACGACCACCCAAGGGCUGAGGAAUGCGAGUGCACGGCGCAGGACUGGCAGGCAGCUCCACCUGCAGCCCCGGUGCGGGAUCCACUAGGUGAAGCCAGCUGGGCUCCUCAGUCUGGUGGGGAGGUGGAGAGUCUUUAUGUCUAGCUCAAGGUUUGUAAACACACCAAUCAGCACCCUGUGUUUAGCUCAAGGUUUGUGAAUGCACCAAUCGACACUCUGUAUCUAGCUGCUCUGGUGGGGCCUUGGAGAACCUGUGUGUGGAAACUCUGUAUCUAACUAAUCUGAUGGGGAGUGGAGAACCUUUGUAUCUAGCUCAGGGAUUGUAAACGCACCAAUCAGCACCCUGACAAAACAGGCCGCUUGGCUCUACCAAUCAGCAGGAUGUAGGUGGGGCCAGAUAAGAGAAUAAAAGCAGGCUGUCCGAGCCAGCAUUGGCAACCAGCUCCGGUCCCCUUCCACACUGUGGAGGCUUUGUUCUUUCACUCUUUGCAAUAAGUCUUGCUACUGCUCACUCUUUGGGUCCACGCUGCUUUUAUGAGCUGUAACACUCACCGCGAAGAUCUGCAGCUUCACUCCUGAGCCCAGCGAGACCACGAACCCACCAGAGGGAAGAAACUCCGAACACAUCUGAACAUCAGAAGGGACAGACUCCAGACGCGCCACCUGAAGAGCUGUAACACUCACCGCGAGGGUCUGCGGCUUCAUUCUUGAAGUCAGUGAGACCAAGAACCCACCAAUUCCGGACACAAAGUGACCAAAUAGGGUCUCAUGUGGUUUAUUCCUAGAGGCCGACGGAUCCCAGGCAGCAGGUUAUCCGAAGAAAAUGGGAGGGGACUUUGAAUACAGGUAACCUCGCCACACAUCAACGAUGUCCCUUCCCCUCCAUAGCUGACCUCGCCAGCCAUCAACGACCUUCCUUCCCUCCCUGGCCUUCCUGUAGCUGUCCAGCCACCUUCAGGGGUGGGCUCCGGAGGCCCUGAGUUUACACUGCGGCCAGUCCCCUGGGGCACAGCUGGCUCUUCCAGGGGAGCACCUAAGCCAAACUGGCACAUCAAGGUCCCUCCCUUAAGAAUCCGGGAAAUAAGGCUGGGUGCGGUGGCUCACUCCUGUAAUCACAACACUGCGGGAGGCCGAGGAAGGAGGAUUGCUUAGAGGUCAGGAGUUCGAGAUCAGCCUGGGCAACAUAGUCAAACCCCA